AACGAACACUGGCGACAGGCUUAACACAUGCAAGUCGAACGCCCCGCAAGGGGAGUGGCAGACGGGUGAGUAACGCGUGGGAAUCUACCGUGCCCUGCGGAAUAGCUCCGGGAAACUGGAAUUAAUACCGCAUACGCCCUACGGGGGAAAGAUUUAUCGGGGUAUGAUGAGCCCGCGUUGGAUUAGCUAGUUGGUGGGGUAAAGGCCUACCAAGGCGACGAUCCAUAGCUGGUCUGAGAGGAUGAUCAGCCACAUUGGGACUGAGACACGGCCCAAACUCCUACGGGAGGCAGCGGUGGGGAAUAUUGGACAAGGGGCGCAAGCCUGAUCCGGCCAUGCCGCGUGAGUGAUGAAGGCCUUAGGGUUGUAAGCUCUUUCACCGAUGAAGAUAAUGACGGUAGUCGGAGAAGAAGCCCCGGCUAACUUCGUGCCAGCAGCCGCCGUAA
rnacentral:rRNA from 1 species